AUUGAACGCUGGCGGCAGGCUUAACACAUGCAAGUCGAGCGGGGUGAUGGUGCUUGCACUAUCACUUAGCGGCGGUCGGGUGAGUAAUGCUUAGGAAUCUGCCUAUUAGUGGGGGACAACAUCUCGAAAGGGAUGCUAAUACCGCAUACGUCCUACGGGAGAAAGCAGGGGAUCACUUGUGACCUUGCGCUAAUAGAUGAGCCUAAGUCGGAUUAGCUAGUUGGUGGGGUAAAGGCCUACCAAGGCGACGAUCUGUAGCUGGUCUGAGAGGACGACCAGCCACACUGGGACUGAGACACGGCCCAGACUCCUACGGGAGGCAGCAGUGGGGAAUUUUGGACAAUGGGCGCAAGCCUGAUCCAGCCAUUCCGCGUGCAGGACGAAGGCCUUCGGGUUGUAAACUGCUUUUGUACGGAACGAAAAGACUCUGGUUAAUACCUGGGGCUCAUGACGGUACCGUAAGAAUAAGCACCGGCUAACUACGUGCCAGCAGCCGCCGUAA
rnacentral:rRNA from 1 species